UACUGCUUUAUUGGACGUCUGUAAC
rnacentral:piRNA from 1 species